rnacentral:rRNA from 1 species
AUUGAACGCUGGCGGCAGGCCUUACACAUGCAAGUCGAACGAGUGGCGGACGGGUGAGUAAUGCAUGGGAAAUUGCCCGAUGGAGGGGGAUAACUACUGGAAACGGUAGCUAAUACCGCAUACUAUUAGAUGUGCCCAGAUGGGAUUAGCUGGUAGGUGGGGUAACGGCUCACCUAGGCGACGAUCCCUAGCUGGUCUGAGAGGACGACCGGCCACACUGGAACUGAGACACGGACCAGACUCCUACGGGAGGCAGCAGUGGGGAAUAUUGCACAAUGGGCGAAAGCCUGAUGCAGCCAUGCCGCGUGUAGGAAGAAGGCCUUCGGGUUGUAAAGCACUUUCAGCGGGGAAGCGUUACCCGCAGAAUAAGCACCGGCUAACUCCGUGCCAGCAGCCGCGGUAAUAC